rnacentral:rRNA from 1 species
UUUGGGACGAUGGAAGAACGAAGCCAGCUGCGAGACUUGGUGUGAAUUCCAGGCCCCAUUGACCACUGAUUUUUCGAACGCCCAUUCCGCCCUCGGUUCCUACCCGGGGCCACGUCUGUCUGAGG